rnacentral:tRNA from 1 species
AGGGAAUUAGCUCAGUGGUAGAGCACGUGCUUGGCACGCACGAGGUCCUGGGUUCAACCCCCAGGACCUCCA